GUGCCACCGGCACAGUGCGCAGGCGCGAGAGCCUCUUCUGGUUAUAUAAGACAGGUCUAGGGCGUUUCUCGUUCCUUUGCGUCUUUGGCCCUGGUUCUUCUAUCUCGUGUUGGGUCGUACCUCAUCCGACCCAUCCGAUGAAGUCUGGGCCCGGAAACUCGGGUUUGCUACUGUGUGUGGUUAGCGCGGUCAGAGGGUACCGAAUGGAUCUUGGAGGAGGGAGGCACUCGCUGCUGGGCCUCCAAGAGACCCCCACGUAGACGUCUCCAGCCUUCGGUCUCCUGACUUGGGAUUUACUGUUGGCAGAAAGCAGGCUUCCAAGUGGACCAGGAGUGGGAAGGGCUUGGUCCGCAGCCCUGUGAGGCACAGGGCAGUAAGUCGAUUGAUGUAGACUGAUCUGCUUGUUUCAGUCUGUCCCAUAACAGGACUUUCUCAACUGGAGUUUGAAUACAAGCCUCGAAAAAGAUUGGCCUUGACCUUGUGCUUUUCUGAGAAAGGAUAAUUAAUAGUUCUGGAUGAAUCAGUCUCACAAGGCUUUUGUGUAACCUGAAGACUGUCUAGGGGCCUUGUGUGCAUUUUGAAGAAUAAAGAAUUGUUGAACUGUGGUAAAAUUUCUAACUUGUAUCUUCCCAAUCUGGAGUAAGAAAAUAAAAUUCUUCAAAUAAAAA